rnacentral:rRNA from 1 species
AGAGUAUGAUCCUGGCUCAGAACGAACGCUGGCGGCAGGCCUAACACAUGCAAGUCGAGCGAACCCUUCGGGGUUAGCGGCGGACGGGUGAGUAACGCGUGGGAACGUACCCUCUUCUGCGGAAUAGCCACUGGAAACGGUGAGUAAUACCGCAUACGCCCUUCGGGGGAAAGAUUUAUCGGAGGAGGAUCGGCCCGCGUUGGAUUAGGUAGUUGGUGGGGUAAUGGCCUACCAAGCCUACGAUCCAUAGCUGGUUUUAGAGGAUGAUCAGCCACACUGGGACUGAGACACGGCCCAGACUCCUACGGGAGGCAGCAGUGGGGAAUCUUAGACAAUGGGCGCAAGCCUGAUCUAGCCAUGCCGCGUGUGUGACGAAGGCCUUAGGGUCGUAAAGCACUUUCGCCUGUGAUGAUAAUGACAGUAGCAGGUAAAGAAACCCCGGCUAACUCCGUGCCAGCAGCCGCGGUAAUACGGAGGGGGUUAGCGUUGUUCGGAAUUACUGGGCGUAAAGCGCACGUAGGCGGAUCAGAAAGUUGGGGGUGAAAUCCCGGGGCUCAACCCCGGAACUGCCUCCAAAACUUCUGGUCUGGAGUUCGAGAG